rnacentral:rRNA from 1 species
UACGAAGGGUGCAAGCGUUACUCGGAAUUACUGGGCGUAAAGCGUGCGUAGGCGGUGAGUUAAGUCUGAUGUGAAAUCCCCGGGCUCAACCUGGGAAUGGCAUUGGAUACUGGCUCGCUCGAGUGCGGUAGAGGGUGGUGGAAUUCCCGGUGUAGCAGUGAAAUGCGUAGAGAUCGGGAGGAACAUCUGUGGCGAAGGCGGCCACCUGGACCAGCACUGACACUGAGGCACGAAAGCGUGGGGAGCAAACAGG